GAGAAUUUAUAUAGAAAAAAGAAAACUAAAAUCUUCCCUUUCUCUCUCAUUUUUUUUCGACGAUAACUCAUCGUCUUCGCCUCUUCCUCAAAUUCCCUCUCUCCCAAAACCCUAGCUUCUCAUGAUUUCCACAUUAUAGAUCUCCCACUCCCUCCUUGGGUUAUCCAAUUACCCUAAUCAUGGCGGCCGGGUUCUCUGCCCUGGCCCUGGUUUCCCGUGCUGCUCAGGAUUCUUUCCUCUCCCUCAAAGAAGUAUGUCUUCGAGACCCAGCAGAGGAUGACACCACAGGGAUGGGCCAUUGAGGUGGGUGGCCAACUUAAAGUUUGUUCGGUAAUUGUGGAGAAUCUCAACAAAAAAACGGACAGAUUCUUGUAGAGCUGGCAUAUUCUCAUGAGAAUGCUAAGUCAAAGGAAGGUUCUUCUGAUUCUAUUGCGGCUCUCGAACCCCCUCACUGUCUGCGUGCGUUCCAUCAGGUAUCCCAGCCUGACAAACAACGUAUAGUAAAGAGAAUAGCUAACUGUACUUGAACGCCUCAAGAAUGAACUACAGGUUCUUACGAUUGUUGUUCAACAUAUUUGAACUAAAAUAAAUUGAACUAGUUGGGUUGCAUCAAGAUUUAAAAAGAAGUUGAGAAUAAGGAUUUCAGAACGUUAAGUACUUACUAGUUGUUACUGCAGUUGGAGUUUGCCUAAGAAAUAGAACAAGCCUAUAUUAGGAUUUCUCAAUUGCUGCAAGAGUUUACCGCUUAUUAUUCUUUUGUUAUUCUUUAACACUAGAGACUUGUAACGGUAAAGAUUAUGAAGAGGGAAGGUAUAUGCGAGGACGUCGUGAUUCCCUCAAGUAUCAGAUCUAUAAUUUGUCUUAAUUUGCCAAGUUUUUCUGGUGGACUUGAUCCUUGUGAUGGAGAUCCAAGUAAAAAAAUAAAUUACGUCAUGUUAGUUACAAUCUUAUUUUCCCUCUUAAACCAUGAGCUGCUGU